GUGCUUGCUUUAGCAGUCCACAUCCUAAAAUUGGAACAAUAUAGAGAAGAUAUGUCUCCUGUACAAGGAUGAUAUACAGAUUUAUGAGACAUUUCAUUAGAGA
rfam:Erinaceus europaeus unplaced genomic scaffold scaffold00666, whole genome shotgun sequence